AGUGUCCGAGUUGUAAUUUGAAGAAGGUAUCUUUGGGUCUGGCUCUUGUCUAUGUUUCUUGGAACAGAACGUCACAGAGGGUGAGAAUCCCGUGCGAUGAGAUGUCCCAGACCUAUGUAAAGUUCCUUCGAAGAGUCGAGUUGUUUGGGAAUGCAGCUCUAAGUGGGUGGUAAAUUCCAUCUAAAGCUAAAUAUUGGCGAGAGACCGAUAGCGAACAAGUACAGUGAUGGAAAGAUGAAAAGAACUUUGAAAAGAGAGUGAAAAAGUACGUGAAAUUGUUGAAAGGGAAGGGCUUGAGAUCAGACUUGGUAUUUUGUAUGUUACUCUCUCGGGGGUGGCCUCUACAGUUUACCGGGCCAGCAUCAGUUUGAGCGGUAGGAUAAGUGCAAAGAAAUGUGGCACUGCUUCGGUAGUGUGUUAUAGUCUUUGUCGAUACUGCCAGCUUAGACUGAGGACUGCGGCUUCGGCCUAGGAUGUUG
rnacentral:rRNA from 1 species